GCCCAGUUACAUGUCAUAUAUUGUAUAACUGUAGCAAUUAUAGGCUUUAUGUUCUUUAUUUGUCUUCUAGAUCUCUCUGGAACUGUUUGAGGGCUCAGUCAGUGGCCUCAGGGAGACAAGGAGAAACAAUUCACUGGGCGAGAGGUGGACCUCGUACAUUUGCAAAGAGGUCUUAAAGGUAUGUCAUACGGGAACCUCUCUGCUUCUAUUCACGAUUUAUGUCAAUAGUUAAAUAUUUCUUUUCUCACUUUGAUUUUAUUCAAUUCCCAGGGUCUGUGUCAUCUUCAGAAAUAUCAUGUCAUUCAUCAUGACCUGAAACCUGAAAACCUCAGGCUGACAUCAUCCGGCGAUGUGAAAAUCUGUGAUUUUGAAUUUGCCACCAUUGGGAAGAGGAGUUCCAGCACCAACGGGACUCCUGCAUAUAUGGCUCCCGAGGCACUUGCCUGUCUCGUAAAUGACCAUCUGGACUAUGACCACAGGGCCGACAUCUGGUCAUUGGGAGUCAGCGCCAUUGAAAUGGCACAGGGCUAUCUCCCAUACGGCAAUCUGAGGGGCCACAAGCUGAUCAACAGAAUUCUAAAAGGUCCUACUGUAACACUCACG